rnacentral:rRNA from 1 species
GACCUCGGAUCAGGUAGGAAUACCCGCUGAACUUAAGCAUAUCAAUAAGCGGAGGAAG